rnacentral:ribozyme from 1 species
AAGCAGAAGGAGGCUGCCGCUGCAGCUAAGAAAGAGAGUGAAGCCAGAAGUCAAGCAAAG